rnacentral:rRNA from 1 species
GAUCAUGGCUCAGGACGAACGCUGGCGGCGUGCUUAACACAUGCAAGUCGAACGGGAGUAUUGAAGAAGCUUGCUUAGAGAUACUUUAGUGGCGGACGGGUGAGUAACGCGUGAGGAGCUGUCCUAUGCAGGGGGACAACAGCUGGAAACGGCUGCUAAUACCCCAUAAGCCGAGAGGUAAAAGGAUCAAUCCGGCAGAGGAGGUACUCGCGUCCUAUCAGCUAGUAGGUGAGGUAACGGCUCACCUAGGCGAAGACGGGUAGCCGGCCUGAGAGGGCGAACGGCCACACUGGAACUGAGAUACGGUCCAGACUCCUACGGGAGGCAGCAGUGGGGAAUAUUGGGCAAUGGGGGGAAACCCUGACCCAGCGACGCCGCGUGGGUGAAGAAAUCCUUCGGGAUGUAAAGCCCUGUUGUAUGGGAAGAGCGGAAGACGGUACCAUACGAGGAAGCCCCGGCAAACUACGUGCCAGCCGCAGC